UUUUUUUUUUUUUUUUUUUUUUUUUUUUUUGCUGUGUUUCCACCAUUAUUCUGAGGGCAGUCCUGUGAACGAGUGGAGAUUUGAUAAGGCUAACAUCAGUUGAAUGUAAGAAGUACUGUUGUGUAGUUGACAUAAUUGUAAAUAGUACAUGUUGCAUAUGAGUGUACAGUUCAAUAUAAUAAAUGAUUUAAAAAAGACAACUGAUGGUCUCUUUUGGAGACCAAAGAGAACUAUGAAAAAAGAAUUAUUUUAAUAAAUGAGACAUUGUAGAAGAUGAUCCCUAAAGGUGAUUUCCAGAUAAGUAAAAGUUUACUUGUGGACAUGAACUGUGUUUUUGGAUUUCCUGCUGUAAGCACAAGCUUUAUUUAUUUAUUUUUUAAAGCUUUUAUUUAUUUAUUCAUGAGAGACACAGAGAGAGGCAGAGACACAGGCAGAGGGAGAAGCAGGCUCCAUGCAGGGAGCCCGACGUGGGACUCGAUCCCAGGACCCUGGGGUCAUGCCCUGAGCCCAAAGCAGACACUCAACCACUGAGCCAUGAGGCGUCCCUAAACACAAGCUUUUUGGCUUUUCUUUCUUUUAAUUUUUCCCUUUUUUUGUAGUAUUAUAUUCGUUAUUGCCAGCCAGAUACAUUUUUGCCCCAAAGGCCUAUAUAACAUUAUAUAUAGAAGCAUAAAUUAUAGGAAUUAUUAUUUUUUAUUUCUUUUAUAUAUACAGCUUAUUGCAUAUAAAUAUACAAUGUUUAUGUUGCUUUGGGGGCUUCAUACUAGAAGUUCAAAUAGCAUUUAUGAGAGGAAAUGAGACAUCUGUGUCUACUUUAUCUUUGCCAUCCCUUUUUCCUGACCCAUUGGAAGAAUCCGCAUGUUUUUACCCUCCGAGUGGUCUUCUCAAGCUCGGAGGUGGUGUGAUCCUAUGCCAGCAGUUGAGAUACUGCCUCUUGAUUUCUAGCCUUUUGAUCGUGACAAAGAUUGCUAUUUUCUUCACAAGCCAGCCAGCUCUGUGUGCUAUUCUGGGAGCCAUUCCUGGCCCAGCCUACCCUCCAUACUCUCCACUGACUUGGUAUGCCUCUACUGCCCUCUAUUAUAAGCCCCGUUUACGCAAUAUAGCUAAAUUUGAUUUUGUUUUCUGCAACUUCAGCUUCAUCAAUGAAAGGAUCCAACUCCUGCUUCAAGUCCCGUAACCAUGUAGGACUCUCUCUUGAUGAAACCUCUCAUUUCAGUGUUGAUAAAAAUAACGAGCUUUCUUCUAGGAGUGAUAAGUUGUGUAUGACACCCUAAGGAACCCUAUCUUGGUAGUUCUAGUUGUGUUUCAUGCUUUUCCCCUCAUAGCAUAAGCCCCUCAAAUGGUAGCUGUGUGCCAUGUUCCGUUAUAUACCUUACAGGACCUCCUUCUUCUAUUUGAGAGGAAAGAAAAUUAUAAAUUAGAUUACAUUUCAGGAGUAUUACUAACAAUCCUAGACAACGAAAAUGUUAAUGAUGCAUUCAUUUCUUAGAUAGUUCAUUAUAAAAGGAACAUAUCCAAUAAUCUAAUUAAAUGCUGCCUCUUGUACUAUUAUUGUUCCUUUUCCGUAUAUAUAAAAAUGCAUAUUCAGUGCGAGGCAACGAAAAAUGGUCCCUAAUGCCAAAAUGGAAAUGAUGUGCCUUUUGAGAUGGAAAUGAAAUUUUUAUUUGGGUUAUUUCAUAUUCAAGUUAAUACGCAUGAGGAAUGAAAUAAGGUCAUUUUGAGACAUUUUAGUGAUGUGCAGAUGCUCACUAAAGAAGAGGCUGAGAGUAAGAUUUUGUUUAAAAAAUACUAGCGUAGAGAUUUCACUGGUUACACCUUUAGCAGUUAUAAGAAGUCGUUCCACUGUAUUUUAAUUUUUUAACCUCUCAUUACCUCUGAUUAAUGAGAAUUACUUCUACACUAUAUAUAAGGUGACGUGUCAUUAAAUUGUGUCGGAAAUGGGUGACAGUUUCUGAAUGCUUGCCUUGUCUGACAAAAACAUAAAAACCAUCCAGAAAGAUCCAGACGUCUUGUUCCUGCAUCACCUACUGUCCAUCUCACUCUGACAGUCUCAAAUGAGCAAAACCAAAAAUCACGUGCACAUGCAUGCACUGUUCCCUUGCUGCCGGCACUUAAACUUCUCCAUUUUACUGUGACACUUGCAAAUUACUAAGUGUGCGUCAUUUAUACAUCUAGAAACUGCAUUUCCAAGUUCUACACUGGUUACCACAUUUUGUUUUAUUUUGUAUGCUAAAACACGUUUACAUUAGGUCAGAUAGAUUUCUAAAGAUGACCUCUGCAAUUUGGCUACCAUUCCCAAGAGCUAAUAAGAGGGUGAGAAGAAGCCCACCCCGAACCCCACCCCGCACCCCAAAUCAAUAGCAGUGCCUUUCAUAGAAAAGUAAAUCUCCUCACGUGUCAUCAAUGUCACAUAUUUAAUCAAACACCAACAAACCACAACUUCUUCAUGGCGUGUGGUAGACUCCUCAGAAGAAGCUGGCAUAACCCUUAAGCUCUGCCUUUUGAGGGCACUGAAUGGUUCAUAUUUUGGUCGAUUCGAAUUUGAAUCUUUUUCUUUAAUGUGGAUUUUCCCCUGCCAUUCUUGCAAAAGGGUAGCUUACUCUAAAAUACAGUGACGAAGGUGUUACAGUUCUGUAUCGUCUCAAUAUUUUCAUCUUUAAGUAGGUCUUCACGGUCACUGGUUUCAAAAAGUUUAUGUUAUAGAUGAUGACACCGCAGCUUACAAUAUUUGUAACUCUGAAAAAAAAAAAAAGUGAAUGUGAAGAGUGGGUUUGGGCUGCGGUGUUGAAGACGAGCACUGAAAGAAGUGGUAAGGCCUGUUUCACCUGUAGAGGAAGGGAACAACCCGGGCAAUUAAUUACUCGUUUGUCAAGAGGGUAAACCAUGGCUGCGUAAACGUCAUAGAGGAUACUACAGAGAAAGGAGACGUGGCAUUGCUUGCUCCCUUCCCUCUGUGCCCUCUUGGUACUAAGAUGAAGGGAAUGUUGAAGGAUAAGUAUUGGAAGAGGUCAGGUCACUAAAUGUUUCCCUUUGCUCUGGCUCUGGCUUCGGUCCAUGCUUCCAUCUGAUAGCAGACCAAGAAACUGCUCACUAAGCAGUGCCCUGAGGGAGUAGGCGUAGGAGAACCUUGGAAAGUUUUUAGCAGAAAUUGAUGAAGUCUUCAGAGUCAAAGGUUGGGUUUUGGUCCCCAAGAGUCAACGUAGUUUCAGGCCUCAACUCCUGUUGCUUCUGUAAGACUGAGUGUUCUGUACGAUGACGGGAAACUGUAGGACAUACUCCUGUGGGAUGAUGGGGCCCAGGUGACACAGACCCCAGCUGGUGAGUAGCCAAGCUAUUUAAAGUGCACUGAAGGAGGUCACUUCUCUGCAGAUAGGUCCAGUUUUGGACCUGAGCUUUGUGGUUCUUUAGAGGAAAAAAUGAUGUAAAAGCAAUGGUUUUUUAAAACGUAAUUGUUAUAUAAUUAUCUGAAGUAUUUCACUACGUUUAUCAAUAUUUUAGUUGUUUUGAUAAAUACCUAACUGUGUCAGAGAAAAAAUUGGGCAGAGAUUGGAUUCAGACCGAUAAACAAUCACAAGAUUUUUACAUUGGUAGUUCUUCACUGAACGUGCUUUGCCUCCCAGGAACGCCAAGGAUGCAUGUUUCAGGGGGACACUCAAAGGCUGUUUUACGCCAACAGGACCAACACAUAUGAGGGUGAUAUUUUUGCGAACAAGCCGAUCAAAAUUCUAUGAUUCCUAUAAGCUUUGUGGCUUGCAAGUAUGGAUUAUGUUUGCUUGUUUGUUUAUUUAUUUAUUUUAAAGAUGAAGGGAUUUUUUUUUAAGAUUUUAUUUAUUUUUCAUGAGAGACAGAGAGUCAGUGACAGAGGUGGAGGGAGAAGCAGGCUCCGUGCAGGGAGCCCGAUGCAGGACUCAAACCCAGGACCCUGGGAUCACGACCUGAGUCAAAGGCAGGUGCUCAACCACUGAGCCACCCAGGCGUCCCAGAUUAUGUUUAAUCUAAAUCACUUUACUCUGGUAUAAAUAUCAGAAAGUAUUUUUAACUUAUAACUUUAGUAAACAGGGACGGAAUUAUUUAGAAAGCCAAAGAAAAAGGUUGUGGCUCUGGAAUCACUAAAUGAGAAAUACAACCAUAACUUUGUGUACCUCACCACUGCUCAUGAUUACUAAUAUCUGGGAGUACUCCUUUCAUGCAUUUCUUCCAGGCAGCACUUGUACAUUGUUGUGAUAAUUUUUUUGCAAAUAUUAUUUUAGAAAUCUGUUUUGUCCAGAUAAUAUUUUAAUAUAAGCAUUUUAAUCAUCUUAACAUAUCCUUUUAAUAAUGCUCUUACGUCUGAAUGAUCAGUGUAAUAGUUGCAUAAGACCUCAUGAUGUAUGGAUCAGAAAAAAAAAUCAUUAAAAAUUACAAUCUGCAUGAGUAACAGCUCAUGACAUAAAAAGGAAAAUUGGCAGAAAGAUCUCAGUUGUGGCGUAAAAAUACAUACUUUGAAAGCAUAUUAGUUAUUGGAUACAUGGUGUGAAGGUGGGAUUCACUCACUUUCAGUUGUCUAUACUCUAUUACUAGACUUGAUAAAAUUCACCCCGUGGAAGUGGAUUUAGGAGAAGUUGUGGUUGGCGUGUGGAUGUGUGUGGACGUGUGUGUGCGUGUGCAUACAGAAAUGUCGAGGCCUAUCUAGCAUGCAUGGUGACAGGGAAAUAAUUGUUAAGCGGCUGUUAAAUGGCAGGUGUGGUCUUAUGUGUUUUAUGUACAUUAAUAAAUAUUUUACUGCCCCGACUGUCCUCUUCUGACCACAGUAUGGGACACCCUGGAAAAGCCUGUAUGGAAACCCCAUCUUAAUUUCUAAAAUGUGACACAUAAGCCCGAAACACUGCAGCUAUGUCAUCCUGGCAGGGUGUCAGAUAUAGAGACAAACCAAUUAGACAACAUGAAAUAAUUAGUACAACGGUUUACUGUAAUUUGUUGAAAAAUGCCCAGGAAAAAAAAAAAAAAGAAAAAAAAA
rnacentral:lncRNA from 1 species